rnacentral:rRNA from 1 species
GUGGGGAAUCUUGCGCAAUGGGCGAAAGCCUGACGCAGCCAUGCCGCGUGAAUGAUGAAGGUCUUAGGAUUGUAAAAUUCUUUCACCGGGGACGAUAAUGACGGUACCCGGAGAAGAAGCUCCGGCUAACUUCGUGCCAGCAGCCGCGGUAAUACGAAGGGGGCUAGCGUUGCUCGGAAUUACUGGGCGUAAAGGGCGCGUAGGCGGACAGCUUAGUCAGAGGUGAAAGCCCAGGGCUCAACCUUGGAAUUGCCUUUGAUACUGGCUGUCUUGAGUUUGGGAGAGGUGAGUGUAACUCCGAGUGUAGAGGUGAAAUUCGUAGAUAUUCGGAAGAACACCAGUGGCGAAGGCGACUCACUGGCCCAAUACUGACGCUGAGGCGCGAAAGCGUGGGGAGCAAACAGGAUUAGAAACCCGGGUAGUCC